AGGGAUGCCUGGCAACAGGAAUGUCACGUGAUCACAAGUGAGCCAGUGGUUCUUGAACUUCUCUUUGAUAUACAGGUGCUUUGGAUUACACGCAUGUUGCUGGAAUGACUUAUGCUCACAAACCAAGGUUUUAUUGUAUAUUCAAAGAAGGAAACGAAGUUUGGAGAGUCAUUGGUUCUUUGACAGUGACUGUGACAGAAUGAAGAUAGGACUCAGGC